ACACCCCCGGGCUGGGCCAUCACCAGCACACCUGCUCUCCAUCCCGGUGAUUACACGGAGAUCCACUUAAUCCGGCGCUGACGGAUGCUCCACGCCAGUCCGUAGUCAUCCCCACAGUGGUUUCUACUCGGCGUCUGCUACCUGCCUGUCCUCCGGCUCAACUGGAUCUCGCGGUGCUCACCUGGCCCACUCGCCAUUCCACGGACUUCCUUCCCCCACGGACUGCCACACUUCCCUCCCGAGCUCCCACGGUUCCGUUCUAUCCCCCCCGCCGUCCCGAUCCCGGCUUCCUCGUGUCAUUGUUUCCCCGGAUUUUUAGUUUCUGUUUUGCUCUCUACUUUCCCCGGGUCGCCUUUCGUUGUUUUAUUAAAGUGUCUUUUUGUUAGCUCGGAGUCUGCGCCUGGAUCCUUUCGUGCCCGCGCACCACGGCGCA